rnacentral:rRNA from 1 species
UACGUAGGGUGCGAGCGUUGUCCGGAAUUACUGGGCGUAAAGAGCUCGUAGGUGGUUUGUCGCGUUGUUCGUGAAAACCGGGGGCUUAACCCUCGGCGUGCGGGCGAUACGGGCAGACUUGAGUACUGCAGGGGAGACUGGAAUUCCUGGUGUAGCGGUGGAAUGCGCAGAUAUCAAGAGGAACACCGGUGGAGAAGGCGGGUCUCUGGGCAGUAACUGACGCUGAGGAGCGAAAGCGUGGGGAGCGAACAGG